GCAUAUCAAUAAGCGGAGGAAAAGAAACCAACAGGGAUUGCCCUAGUAACGGCGAGUGAAGCGGCAACAGCUCAAAUUUGAAAUCUGGCGCAAGCCCGAGUUGUAAUUUGUAGAGGAUGUUUCUGGCGACGCGCCUUCCGAGUUCCCUGGAACGGGACGCCAUAGAGGGUGAGAGCCCCGUACGGUUGGAUGCCUAGCCUCUGUGAAACUCCUUCGACGAGUCGAGUAGUUUGGGAAUGCUGCUCUAAAUGGGAGGUAUACGUCUUCUAAAGCUAAAUACCGGCCAGAGACCGAUAGCGCACAAGUAGAGUGAUCGAAAGAUGAAAAGCACUUUGAAAAGAGGGUUAAAAAGUACGUGAAAUUGUUGAAAGGGAAGCGUUCAUGACCAGACUUGGGCAGGUUGAUCAUCCGUGGUUCUCCGCGGUGCACUCUGCCUGCCCAGGCCAGCAUCAGUUCGCUCCGGGGGAUAAAGGCUCUGGGAAUGUGGCUCCUUCGGGAGUGUUAUAGCCCACUGCGUAAUACCCUGGGGUGGACUGAGGUUCGCGCUCUGCAAGGAUGCUGGCGUAAUGGUCAUCAACGACCCGUCUUGAAACACGGACCAAGGAGUCGUCUUCGUAUGCGAGUGUUCGGGUGUCAAACCCCUACGCGUAAUGAAAGUGAACGUAGGAGAGAGCUUCGGCGCAUCUCCGACCGAUCCUGAUGUUCUCGGAUGGAUUUGAGUAAGAGCAUACGGGGCCGGACCCGAAAGAAGGUGAACUAUGCCUGUAUAGGGUGAAGCCAGAGGAAACUCUGGUGGAGGCUCGCAGCGGUUCUGACGUGCAAAUCGAUCGUCAAAUAUGGGCAUGGGGGCGAAAGACUAAUCG
rnacentral:rRNA from 1 species